GAUCCCUGAGGAAGGAUCAAAGGUGAAUGAUGUGACAUGAUGACAAAUAAAAGCCUCUUUGUCAGGAGUUAACUAGUAGUGAUCUACUUUUCCUAAGUUUACUCAACAAAAAACAGUUAAUCUGUGAUGGUAAAUGAUUUGAAUCAAAUUCUGUCGUAAUUUUAGACAUAUUAUCCCUUGAGUCAAUAAAAAAAAUGAAGCCAAAUAGUGUCAGUAUUUUGGCCCUGGCGCUUUCUCUGUUUUUUUAAACAGUUUUUAUUUCAGCUUCAACAACAUACAUUCAUAUUUACAGUUUUACCUGCUAUUUGUAUUUUUUCCAGCUGCAUCUAAAUGGUUUAUGGUUAAUUUAACAAAGUAAGAACAGGAACUUUUGCUUUAUAUUAACAGAAAUUUCAAAAUAAAAAUAAUGUAUUUUUAAAAUACCUUUAGUAGUGUGGAUGUGUGCGUAUUCACAGACAGGAGAUGAUUCAGUAAGUGUAGAAAAAUUCUGAUCAUUUCACUGUAUUAUGAUGGAUAUUGCAGGGCUCCAUUCUAUUAAUGAAUAUCUUGUUGGAUUCUCAGGGGCCGUGUUAUUUGUCUCAUCUGGUCACAUGUUGUUGUUGGGGAGUGAAGUUUGAACCACUUAGUAUAUUUGUAGAGGACAUAUUUUAGCUCUUCCUUCAGUGCCUUUUGAUAUUAAACCUAGUAGUGCCUCCUUUGUAUCUUUGGUGAAAUUCUUGUGGAAUACAUCUGAAAGCAUACUUGAUACGCUCAUCUACACACUGACUGCAUCUCACUACCAGCUAUAUAUGUAGUAGAUUUAAUACCAGAGCCUUACACCAUAACAGGAAACUGAUGAAGCAGUUUGUCAUGUUGUCUAAUUCACUCUGUAUUCAUUAUGCAUCAUUUUGUAUGUAUCGUCUAUCUUAUCAUGCAUGUAUGCCAGUGUGUGUUAUAUGACUCCUUGUCCCCCAUGCAUGGGUUUUCUCCAGGUACUCCAGCUUCCUGCCACAGUCCAAAAAUAUGCUCAAGUCAAGUGAUGAUUCGAAACUGUCCGGUCUGCAGCUGUUCCUUCAGCUGGGAGAUGGCCAUCCUCACAGGUCCAAAGGAGAUGUGUGGACUGACUGUCAGAGAGCUGCUUGCCUCAGGGACUGGACGACCAAAUGACUGACACAUCUAGUGCAGAGGAAACAGCAGUCCUCAGUGCUGAGCUCAAUGUUUCUUAUCUUUUAAUGCCAAAUUCAAGACACUGAAACGCAUAAAGUUGGAGUAUUUCAAAUUUAAAAUUCUAUUCUGGGGGCACCCCUGUAGUUCAACAGGUUGACCGAGUGACCCAUAAGAGGGCUAUAGUCCCUGGCACAGCGGUCAUGGGUUUGAGUCCAACCCAUGACCAUUUACCGAAUGUCUUUCCCCCACUCUUCUACCCACGUUUCCUCUCUCUCUCCACUGUGCACUAUAAUAAAGGCCAAAAAAAUAAUUUUAUUCAUUCUGACCCUCAGUAUAUUGUAAUUCAAGUAUUCUGAGAGGAAGCUAUACUUCUUCACCUCCUCUUGGCUCUGUUUUCAGACUUAAGAAAAUCUAGCACACAAGUGUAGAAUUCGGCCAAUCACAAGGGUUUUCACUCAGAGAAGUUAAAUAUUAUGAAGAGCUACAAAGUCCAUGGCAGUAGUAGAAUGUGGAGGCGCAAAAAGGUUGACAGAGGACUCGACCUCAGGAGAGUGAUCCCAUGUGGAGACACAAAUGAAUGUUGUCUUUAAUCUUGACUAUGUCUAAGCACAGGCUCACCUGGUAAUAGAACAGAGGGCUGUGUUUUCAGUCUUUGGCAUUGUUUUUUUUUUUUUUUUUUUUUUUUGCCUUUUGCAGAUUUCUGCCUACUCCAGCUUUAAGCACGUCCAGGCAUUAUUCUCUCACCUGCGCGAUCAGCUGCUGAUCCUGAGCGUGGAAAACUCCCUCCAGCUCAGCGUCUCUCCUCCUCAGCUCUGAGAUCUGCCGCUCCAGAUGCUGGAGGUGGUUUUCAGCUCGAGUCAGUUCAGCCUUCUCCUGAGCCCUGAUCAGCUCCUUCAUCUCAACACGACGGUGCUCCAAAAACUCCAUCAGCUCUGAGAAGAUCCUGCUGCUGUCCUUCACCGCUGCUUUGGCCAUACGCUGAAGAAAGCACAACACUGUCAUUCCAUCUGACCACAGGUGUAACAAACUAUACCAGCUAUUUAUGUCAUCUAUGUCAUUUUUUAGGGGUCCACAAUAACAUCAGCAUCAUCUUUGGUAUCAGUCAAUAAAGAUUUUAAAAUGAAAAAUUGGCCAAAAAAUUACAUUGACAAGUAGAUACUCUGUCAGGUGAAAAGUUUACAUUUUUUUAAUUAUAUAAAAAAUAAAUGUUUAUUUUAAUAUGUAA